rnacentral:rRNA from 1 species
GUGUCAGCAGCCGCGCGGUAAUACCUAUGGCCCAAGUAGUGACCACUUUUAUUGAGUCUAAAGCGUUCGUAGCUGGCUCAAAAAGUCUGCACUUAAAUCAUUCAGCUCAACUGAAUGGCAAGGUGCAGAUACUUUUGAGCUAGGGGCCGGGAGAGGGAUCGGGAACUCUUUGGGUAGGAGUAAAAUCCUUUAAUCCAAAGAAGACCACCAGUGGCGAAGGCGCGAUCCCAGAACGGACCUGACAGUGAGGAACGAAGGCUAGGAGAACGAACCGGAUUAGAUACCCGGGUAGCCCUAGCAGUAAACGCUGCUCACUAUGCGUUGUAUCUCCUAUGGGGAGAUACUGUGCAACAGCGAAGGCGUUAAGUGAGCCACUUGGGGAGUACAAUCGCAAGGUCGAAACUUAAAGGAAUUGGCGGGGGAGCACAAAAACGGGUGAAAUUUGCGGUUCAAUUGGAUUCAACUCCGGGAAUCUUACCAAGGGCGACAGCAAGAUGAAGGCCAGCCUAAAGAACUUGCCUAAUGCGCUGAGAGGUGUUGCAUGGCCGUCAUCAGUUAGUAUCGUGAGACGUCCCGUUAAGUCGGGUAACUAACAAGACCCUCUUCCAUAUUUACUAACGCGCAUUCCGAUGCGAGCGAGCAAAAUAUGGAGACUGCUUC